UACGUAGGGUGCGAGCGUUGUCCGGAAUUAUUGGGCGUAAAGAGCUCGUAGGCGGUCUGUCGCGUCGAUCGUGAAAACUUGGGGCUUAACCCUGAGCUUGCGGUCGAUACGGGCAUGACUGGAGUUCGGCAGGGGAGACUGGAAUUCCUGGUGUAGCGGUGAUAUGCGUAGAUAUCGGGAGGAACACCAGUGGCGAAGGCGGCUCUCUGGGCCCUACCUGACGCUGAGACGCGAAAGCGUGGGGAGCGAACCGG
rnacentral:rRNA from 1 species